AGCCAGACUCCUACGGGAGGCAGCAGUGGGGGAUAUUGCACAAUGGGGGGAACCCUGAUGCAGCGACGCCGCGUGGGUGAAGGAGUAUUUCGGUAUGUAAAGCCCUAUCGGCAGGGAAGAAGCAAGACGGUACCUGACUAAGAAGCCCCGGCUAACUACGUGCCAGCAGCCGCGGUAAUACGUAGGGGGCGAGCGUUAUCCGGAUUCACUGGGUGUAAAGGGAGCGUAGACGGCCAUGCAAGCCAGGGGUGAAAGGCCGGGGCCCAACCCCGGGACUGCCCUUGGAACUGCAUGGCUGGAGUGCGGGAGGGGCAGGCGGAAUUCCUGGUGUAGCGGUGAAAUGCGUAGAUAUCAGGAGGAACACCGGCGGCGGAGGCGGCCUGCUGGACCGCGACUGACGUUGAGGCUCGAAAGCGUGGGGAGCGAACAGGAUUAGAUACCCCUGUACUA
rnacentral:rRNA from 1 species